GAAUAUAUCAUUUAUUCGGUUGUUGUGAUCAUUUUCAACAUUGCCGCCGUCAUCUCUCCAUUGCAGUGCCGCAGUCGCACAAGGAUUGGCGCGCGCAUCCGUCGGCUCUUCCGGAUACCGGAAGUGUCUUCCAAAGAGACA
ensembl:ncRNA C48B6.11 ncRNA